UACGAAGGGGGCUAGCGUUGUUCGGAAUUACUGGGCGUAAAGCGCGCGCAGGCGGCUAUCCAAGUCAGUGGUGAAAGCCCGGAGCUCAACUCCGGAACUGCCAUUGAAACUGUUUAGCUUGAGGACGAGAGAGGUGAGUGGAAUUCCCAGUGUAGAGGUGAAAUUCGUAGAUAUCAGGAGGAACACCGGUGGCGAAGGCGGGUCUCUGGGCCGAUAUCGACGCUGAGGAGCGAAAGCGUGGGGAGCGAACAGG
rnacentral:rRNA from 1 species